AUAAAGGCCCUUUUUAAGGCCACCCACAAUUUGAUUUAAUCUUUUU
rfam:Schistosoma rodhaini strain Burundi genome assembly, scaffold: SROB_scaffold0000691